AUUGAACGCUGGCGGCAUGCCUUACACAUGCAAGUCGAACGGUAACAGGUGUUCGGAUGCUGACGAGUGGCGAACGGGUGAGUAAUACAUCGGAACGUGCCCGAUCGUGGGGGAUAACGGAGCGAAAGCUUUGCUAAUACCGCAUACGAUCUACGGAUGAAAGCAGGGGACCGCAAGGCCUUGCGCGGACGGAGCGGCCGAUGGCAGAUUAGGUAGUUGGUGGGAUAAAAGCUUACCAAGCCGACGAUCUGUAGCUGGUCUGAGAGGACGACCAGCCACACUGGGACUGAGACACGGCCCAGACUCCUACGGGAGGCAGCAGUGGGGAAUUUUGGACAAUGGGCGAAAGCCUGAUCCAGCCAUGCCGCGUGCAGGAUGAAGGCCUUCGGGUUGUAAACUGCUUUUGUACGGAACGAAAAGACUCUUUCUAAUAAAGAGGGUCCAUGACGGUACCGUAAGAAUAAGCACCGGCUAACUACGUG
rnacentral:rRNA from 1 species